AAGCCUAGGACUGGCCCAGGAGCUUGUCUGUGACAGAACGCGUUAACGUAAAAUAACGAUACCAAAGACACUUAUUUAACUCAGAAAUGGACUCGGUUAACAAUACAGCUAAUGGUACCAAGUUCGACUCUACAUGGUACACGUGUAGCUAUCCAGGAUAUACCAAAGGUAGGUCGAAAUGUUGGGAGUUAGAGACCUGUGAACCAAUGACUAUAUUCUUACAGGCAUUAUCAGUGUUUGGAUUUGUAUCCAACGUAGCUGUUUUUAUCUUGAUCUGUGCCGCAAGACGACUCCACAAACCGAUGUACACCGGGAUCCGAAUGCUGACCAUUCCUGACGCUUUGUUUUUACUGACUAGAUUUCUUUUACAUUCAUUCCGUAAAAUGCCGACCAAACUGAAGUUGGCCAUAAUUUACAGUAUGCUUGCUUCAUAUCAUUCCUCUAUAUUUCAUGUCACUGUCAGUGCAACAGUAUUUGACGAUAGCCUACCCACUGAAAUGUAUAACUUGGAUCAGCAAUAAGCGAGUCAUUAUUGCAUCAGCUAUCAUUUGGGUAUGUGCAAUCACAAUUAACAUACCAUACUUCUAUAUUGUUUUUAUCCAAGAUAAUUUUGACUUAGUACCCAUUGUAAACGCCAUCUACACCUUCUCGCUCUUCGCUGGACCUAUAAUUGUGUUGGGAAUUUUACACAUUUUAAAGAUCAAAGCUUUAAAGAGGUCAUUGGUAAACAACAUUGACAAGACCACUAAAAGAGUAUCACAGAUAAUAUCCAUCGUUGUAGGCGUUUACAUUCUCACAACCACUCCAAUCAACACCAGAGACGUUAUAGAAGCAUUCGUUUGUUCCAUGAUUGACACGUGGUACAUUGUCCUUGGACAUAUAGGCCGUACUCUGCUCUUAGUUAACCAUUCCAUCAACCCGUAUAUCUAUUUCAUCAGUACCCCGCAGUUCCGACGGACGGUCAGAUACUGCUUGGGGUAUAAAGGAAAAAGACACGGUGGAUCCAGGUCUCAAGGACAGUCGGACACAAACCAGACAAUGACCACUUCCAGGCCAGUGUCCGUGAACUCUGACCCCUUUUCUGUAGUCUCUCGGUGCUCCUCGUUGGAUCCACCAAUCACGACCCAUUUAUAGAUGUCUCUCAAACGUUAUGUCUUGUGAAUACCGGUAUAGGACUGAUUGCAUCCUUUCAGAUUUGCUUUUAAUACUGUAAACCUGGGCAUUUCCGCUUGUUGUUUAUCGUAUUUAUUAUUUCUGCAAUGUACAUAGAAUGUAGGCUUACAUUGAAAAUACGUUGUAUAUAAAGGUGUAGUAAAGGACAAGGGACGCUAAUACCAUGGAAGAAAAAGUCCAGUUAGGGUUUACAAUGUACGAGAAUAUGGAAUUUUCUUCAAUGUAAUACCUUAUCUAGCGUACAAAUUACGUCUGGGCCUCGUAGACUGUGAUUAGAACUAUUAUAAUUGAUGGAUUGAUCGCUGUCAAACAUCCCGUGGAGAUUAUUUACUAAUAUUGAGUUACUUGCCAGUGAAGAGAUUGGACUGUACAUGUAAUAAGACUAGUAUAUCAUUUUUAUCGGCUAUUUUGCAAAUAAAUGUCCUAUCGUACCAUUUUGAGACUCUUAAAAAUUGGUGCAAGUUUGGAUAAACAUUUUCUUAUCAAUUUUGAAAGAAAAGAAGAUGAUCCAGGAUAAAAUGUAGAAAAAUGUCUUUGUUCCAAUGACAUAUUAUUUAUCACGACCUGUAUAUGUAUUGAAAACAACUUUCCUAAUAAAAUUUGAAUCAAAAGUGUUGGCAUUUC
rnacentral:sRNA from 1 species